AGUAUUUGAAAUUCAGCUAUGUCAGGUUCAGAUGUAUAUGUAGGGAUGACUACAUGAUCGGCUGCUCUUUUGACUCCUUGUAAUUGGAAGUCUGAAGAUGUUGUAGGUAUUGAAGGAGAAGGAAGUAUGAUAACAUCUAAAGUAUGACAAGAUUUUCUAGCAGGUAUUAAUGGUUUUUUAUUUCUUUUCCUAUUAAUAUCUAUAUCAUCUUGUACGAUAGGUUGUUGGAAUUUUAUUUCAAUAUUUCCAUCCUGAUGUUCUAUUAUUUGGUUUGGAAUAUUAUUCACAGGGACUUCCCUGGGCUAGUGUGCAUUUUGCAAUGCCCAUGAUUGAGGUAGAAUAAUAUCGGACCAAGUAAUGGUUUUUGGUACAAUCGUAUUUGAUUUUUCUACAUUUGUUUGAAAUAAUAUAGUUUGAUCCUUUUUAUCAGCUUGCAUAAUAUUAGGACAGAGAGUAUUCAUUACUUUAUAAUACAUUCGG
rnacentral:lncRNA from 1 species